AGCAGCCGCGGUAAUUCCAGCUCCAAUAGCGUAUAUUAAAGUUGUUGCAGUUAAAAAAGCUCGUAGUUGAAUUUCGAGAUCAAAUUGUUGGUCGUGCCUUGGUACGCACUGGCAUUAUUGGUUUCUCCCUUCUGACGAACCAUGAUGUCAUUAAUUUGGUGUCUUGGGGAAUCAGGACUGUUACUUUGAAAAAAUUAGAGUGUUUAAAGCAGGCUCACGCUUGAAUACAUUAGCAUGGAAUAAUGAAAUAGGACGUUUGAUUCUAUUUUGUUGGUUUCUAGGAUCGACGUAAUGAUUAAUAGGGAUAGUUGGGGGCAUUAGUGAUUCAAUUGUCAGAGGUGAAAUUCUUGGAUUUAUUGAAGACUAACUACUGCGAAAGCAUUUGCCAAGGAUGUUUUCAUUAAUCAAGAACGAAAGUUAGGGGAUCGAAGACGAUCAGAUACCGUCGUAGUCUUAACCAUAAACUAUGCCGACUAGGGAUCGGAUGAUGUUAAUUUUUUUAAUGACUCAUUCGGCGCCU
rnacentral:rRNA from 1 species